GACGAACCGUGCGAACGUUGUUCGGAAUCACUGGGCUUAAAGGGUGCGUAGGCGGGCUGCCAAGUUUGGGGUGAAAUCCUCCGGCUCAACCGGGGAAGUGCCUUGAAUACUGGCGGUCUCGAGGGAGGUAGGGGCGUGCGGAACUAACGGUGGAGCGGUGAAAUGCGUUGAUAUCGUUAGGAACUCCGGUGGCGAAGGCGGCACGCUAGACCUCUUCUGACGCUGAGGCACGAAAGCCAGGGGAGCGAACGGG
rnacentral:rRNA from 1 species